GUGGCCGCCGCCAAGUCCAUCCCCUACCUAGGGUCGUCGACCUGCCGCGCAUCUCCGUCGACGGCAGCGACGAAAGUGGAGGAGGGUUCUUCUACGGUAGCUGCCCCACCGCGCCGAUGUUGAUCCGCCGCAUCACGUCCCCAUCCGCGUCUGGCAUCGCCCUCCUGCAGCUGGAAAGGAACCCGCGGCCGCCCGAAAGGAGCUCGCCGCCGGCUCCUCAUCUCGUCCCUGACCUCCUACCUCUGUGCCUGGGAAAGCUUCCGGUGGCUGCGGCGGAGGAGGAGAUUGCGCUAGUCCAGUUGCAGGAUGUUCACUGAGUCUUUCCUAAGGCUCAGGGUCAUGAAAGGUUCAGAUGCAGUUGGACUUGGUUCUGGACUCAAAGAAGAUUAUACAACAAAUACGUGAUGCCAAGCUUAACAUGAAGCAUAUCUAGCAUUUCAGGAUGCAGUGAUAGAAGAGCUGGAAGGCAAAACUAAAGAAAUAAUAACAAAGAUGUUGCACAAGACAAGAUAAAGGAGCUCGAUGUUCUUGUAAAGAAAUGAUCAGAUUUUCGGUGGCGACCGUCAGUGUAGUCAUCGCCUUAGCUGCUGUACUAACUUAUAUGUAUGUUAAUUAUUAAGUUCUGAUUCGUUGAGAUGUCAACAAGUGAUAUUGACGAUUGAAUUCAUAAUAUCUGGGGGAAAAAUGCUGCGGCA